UGAUAUACCUUUAAAAAUGACGCUUUGGGGAGACCAAGCAUCUGAUUUUUUCUGUCGAUAAUGUUUACAAUGAGAACGAGAAGAAACUCCUAAUCAUAUUGUUCAUCGGAUGCCUUCCUAAACGAUCCAAAGGCCAAGUAUAUUUAUGCGGAAAUGUGGUAUGCGCAUGGUACUUCAAUCCAGACAUCCGUGAAAUACAUGUGUUCUACAACAGUUUGUAAAGGUUACCAACAGCUGAGUUCCAGCUACUACGACAUCCUGUCACAAAAGAGGAAAUCCAGGUUUCUCAACCCUCUGAAAUUGAAGACAAGAUUGUGGAAGAGCUACUUGAGAUAGAUCCAGAUAUGUUUCAUGUAAUCACUGUCAUAUCCUUGUGUAUUCAAAAUAUUUCGUCCAUCAAACAUAGGCUUAGCCUAUUUACAACAACCAUCUAUUCUCUAAUGCAGCCACAAGGUUACAAGUGCACUGUUACUGUUUCAUGUCUUCUACAAGACAAUAGAUGGUGGUUUCCAUCUUGCACCAAAUGCAAGAGGUCUCCAACUCAGACCUCUACUAGAUACCGAUGCACAACGUGCGACUAGACAAACUAGAUUUAGGUACAAACUCAGAUUAUUGCUACUGAUGGAACUUCUAAAGCAGAAUUCUUUUGUUUUGAUAAUAUAGCCAGAUGAAUAGUAGGAAAGUGCUAUGAAACCCUUGUCAGAAUAGCAGAUGAUUCUCAUGGUCCUCCAGCGGACCUGGCUGCCAUUGUGUCGUUUAAGUUUACCUUUGCAGUUACCAUUAACAUGUCGGCAUUCUCUGUCACCAACAAUCUUUUAUGUUCUCUCUGGACUAACAAAUCAUGGGAGACAUGCAUCACUAACAAUUUUUUUGAAAGCAAAUGGCAGAGCUCGCCUUUCAAUUAAGAGAGAAAAGAGUUACAGAACAAGGAUCACACAUCACACACACCAGGAGCACACCUCCUGCCUAAGAAAAACUGCUCACACAUAACGAUGUAUUUGGUUGUACAAGCAUACAAGACUCUCCAGCAGCAUCUUUUGGCAAACUAUCCAUAUCUACCAAUCAAAAAAUGUGGGUACAAGUCAGCUUAACAAAGACGGUCUGCCAUCGCCACCAAAAGAUCAGAACCAGCCAACUUCGCAUACACCAGCCUGAUUCUACACAACCUGGAGAUCAAAGCCACUAGAUCGUCAUGAAUUGCAAGGUACGACAGUACCCAUACACCUUCAUUCUAUAACCCGUACCAAAAAAAAGUUUGUAUAAUGCUUUCCAAUCUCCCUUAUAAGCAUUGUACAACAACAUAAUAACAGACAAGCACUUUAGAUGCAACUGAUGUUCUCUUGUUUGUUUAUAGAUAACUGUUUUGCGCACCUACAAAGGACGUCCAUGCUGCUGAAACGCAUAUACUUUUAUGUACAUAUAACGAAACUGCUACAGCGUCUCCAGCUUUGUAUAUGUUUAUGUGAACCCUAUCAGUGAACUCUAAUUUACGCUUGAUGUAGUCUACUCAAGUGCUACUUCAUGUGUAUUAUUGUCUCAGUUACUCUACAACUAUUGUAAGCCUUGGCGUCUGCUUCAUCUUGGUUUUGUACUUAUUUACUUACCUGCUUUUUAGCUAUGGUUUCCAGUUUAAAUGUGAUCA